ensembl:ribozyme RNaseP_nuc Nuclear RNase P
UGAGAGAAGCUCAGUGAUGAGGUCACAUUCAGAGUGCAUGGGUUACUCUCCAAAAACCUCUGGGAAGGUCUGAGAUAAGAGCUGUCCAUUGCCUUCACAAGGCAUUGCUUGGGAUAAGCAAGUGAGUUACCAUCAAAUCAUGGUCUGCUGCCUGCAGGUUGCAUAAGAAAUAGGAGCAUUGUUCCUCCAUGGAUGCUCAGUCAACAGACUUGGAAGAUGACUCAUGGCUGGCAAAAUCAAGUCCAAUGGCUGAGAGGAAACAUUCCAGCUUCCUAACUCAAUUCAGACUACUCUCUCUCUCA